GAUGAACGCUGGCGGCGUGCCUAAUACAUGCAAGUCGAGCGAACGGACGAGAAGCUUGCUUUUCUGAUGUUAGCGGCGGACGGGUGAGUAACACGUGGAUAACCUACCUAUAAGACUGGGAUAACUUCGGGAAACCGGAGCUAAUACCGGAUAAUAUUUUGAACCGCAUGGUUCAAAAGUGAAAGACGGUCUUGCUGUCACUUAUAGAUGGAUCCGCGCUGCAUUAGCUAGUUGGUAAGGUAACGGCUUACCAAGGCAACGAUGCAUAGCCGACCUGAGAGGGUGAUCGGCCACACUGGAACUGAGACACGGUCCAGACUCCUACGGGAGGCAGCAGUAGGGAAUCUUCCGCAAUGGGCGAAAGCCUGACGGAGCAACGCCGCGUGAGUGAUGAAGGUCUUCGGAUCGUAAAACUCUGUUAUUAGGGAAGAACAUAUGUGUAAGUAACUGUGCACAUCUUGACGGUACCUAAUCAGAAAGCCACGGCUAACUACGUGCCAGCAGCCGCGGUAAUACGUAGGUGGCAAGCGUUAUCCGGAAUUAUUGGGCGUAAAGCGCGCGUAGGCGGUUUUUUAAGUCUGAUGUGAAAGCCCACGGCUCAACCGUGGAGGGUCAUUGGAAACUGGAAAACUUGAGUGCAGAAGAGGAAAGUGGAAUUCCAUGUGUAGCGGUGAAAUGCGCAGAGAUGUGGAGGAACACCAGUGGCGAAGGCGACUUUCUGGUCUGUAACUGACGCUGAUGUGCGAAAGCGUGGGGAUCAAACAGGAUUAGAUACCCUGGUAGUCCACGCCGUAAACGAUGAGUGCUAAGUGUUAGGGGGUUUCCGCCCCUUAGUGCUGCAGCUAACGCAUUAAGCACUCCGCCUGGGGAGUACGACCGCAAGGUUGAAACUCAAAGGAAUUGACGGGGGCCCGCACAAGCGGUGGAGCAUGUGGUUUAAUUCGAAGCAACGCGAAGAACCUUACCAAAUCUUGACAUCCUUUGACAACUCUAGAGAUAGAGCCUUCCCCUUCGGGGGACAAAGUGACAGGUGGUGCAUGGUUGUCGUCAGCUCGUGUCGUGAGAUGUUGGGUUAAGUCCCGCAACGAGCGCAACCCUUAAGCUUAGUUGCCAUCAUUAAGUUGGGCACUCCAAGUUGACUGCCGGUGACAAACCGGAGGAAGGUGGGGAUGACGUCAAAUCAUCAUGCCCCUUAUGAUUUGGGCUACACACGUGCUACAAUGGACAAUACAAAGGGCAGCGAAACCGCGAGGUCAAGCAAAUCCCAUAAAGUUGUUCUCAGUUCGGAUUGUAGUCUGCAACUCGACUACAUGAAGCUGGAAUCGCUAGUAAUCGUAGAUCAGCAUGCUACGGUGAAUACGUUCCCGGGUCU
rnacentral:rRNA from 1 species